rnacentral:lncRNA from 1 species
GUCAUAAUGGCCCCAGGCAUGACAAGGUUACUGGGUCAUAGUUGGUUAUCGUAGUACUUAGACAACGUGCUCAUGGGAAACAAACGACUCCAGGGUGUGUGCCGCCGAUUUGCAAUAUGAGGCUGAUCUACUGUUCCCACUGUUUUAUUCCCUGCUGCUAUAUCUCGGCUGGGAAAUGUACGCUGUGGACCCCGCAUCUUCAUAAUGAUGGUCCCUCAAUGAUCAACCACCUUCCACGUAGCAUCCAUACAGUAGUCUGAGCAAGCUGAAGGAUAACAAGCUUAAAUUUAUCUUUUAAAAAUGUCAGAACUUCCAGAAAUUUGUAUUAAAAUUUCUAAAUUGUAUUUCUGAACCGAAAUAAAGUAUUACAAAGUU